rnacentral:rRNA from 1 species
CACUUUCAACAACGGAUCUCUUGGUUCUCGCAUCGAUGAAGAACGUAGCGAAGUGCGAUAAGUAAUGUGAAUUGCAGAAUUCCGUGAAUCAUCGAAUCUUUGAACGCAAAUUGCACUCUUUUCGGAGAGUAUGCCUGUUUGAGGGUCAUUUUAAUA